UACGGGGGGGGCAAGCGUUGUUCGGAAUUACUGGGCGUAAAGGGUCUGUAGGUGGCCAACUAAGUCAGACGUGUAAUCCCUCAGCUUAACUGGGGAACUGCGUCUGAGACUGGAUGGCUCGAGUGCAGGAGAGGAAUGCGGAAUUCCAGGUGUAGCGGUGAAAUGCGUAGAUAUCGGGAGGAACACCAGUGGCGAAGGCGACUUCCUGGCCUGUUCUUGACGCUGAGGCGCGAAAGCUAGGGGAGCAAACGGG
rnacentral:rRNA from 1 species